GACAAAAAUAUUGAUCUUAUCACUUGUUUUUAUCAUUGCUUUGAGAACUCCAAAACAUAGUACCAUUAACAAUGACUAUACAUAACACAAUUUUACAAGACCAUAUUUGUCUUUUUUUGUUCAGGUAAAAUAUUUUAGCAAUAGUUUCAAUAUUGCUAUUUAAAAAGAAAAAUUUAGAUGUAUAGUAAAGCUAAAGAAGGGGGAGAAGGGACUCUGCUCUAGACAGGAU
rnacentral:misc_RNA from 1 species